UCCCUAGUGGCUCAGAGGUUAAAGCGUCUGCCUGAAAUGCAGGAGACUCCAGUUCGAUCCCUGGGUCGGGAA
rnacentral:tRNA from 1 species